ACAGAAAGGGCGGCUCCCCCUGCCUCUGCAGCUGGGUGUGCGUCCCGGGAGCUGAGAGCCUUGCCCCCUGCUCCAUCCUUCUCUUUUGGGGGUCUCUUCAGUGUCAGGACUUGGAGAGCCUGGGCGCGGGACUUGAUCAGAGAGGCCUUGAGUGCAGUGGGUGCUUAUCUGGUGUCUGUGGCCCUGAGGUCUGGGACAGACAUUGCUGGUCUUUCUGGGCCACACCCACGGGGCCUGCCAGCCCCCCUGGGCUUGGCACAGUGGAGGGGAGACACACCCAAGGCCCUGGAUGUGCCCGGCUCUCUGCAGCUGUGGGUGCCUCAGGCUGGCCGCUGAUGGGUCUCAGUUUCUGAGGGGGUGGCAGUGAAGUUGCAGAGAAGAAACCUACGAAGGUGCCCUGUCAACUGCCACACGCCCAGAUGCACGUCGACAGCCCAUCACCGCCUCUUGCCUGUCCUCCCUGGGGACCAGCAGGUCAUGGGAGGUGGCUUGUCAAGGGGAGACACAUUUGGAUGACACCAAGCCGAGCUUCCUGUCUUGAGGCUGUUUCUGCUUUCUCAUCUUCCUGCUAAUGAGUUGCCUUUCGUGUGUCCCCUUCAUCUCUCUUCCUCGGGAUGACCUGCACCCCCAUGACCUCACUCUCCACCUGGUUACUGAUGGCUCCCAGAUCCACGCCUCCAGCUGGGCCUCUGCAGAGCAUGAUCCCACCAGACACUCCACGCGGCAGGGACUGUUCAGACUCACUGCUUUUCUCCCCACGCCUGCGCCUCCUCCUGAAAUCCACCUCUGUUCAAUGAGACCCUCCACCCAGAUGAGCAUGAGCCCAGCCAGGGUGGGCUGUUCAGUUUCUUCCCUGGGAAUCUGGAGCUGGAUUGAGCUGGUCUGCAGCCUGGGCUGAGAGCCCAGCAGGCUCGAGACACCGCAACCUGGCCUGGCCGUGGGCAGGCAGGGAGUGGAGAUUGCAGCAUCGACUGGGCAGAGGAGCUGGGGCGUUUACCAGAAGUCUCCAGCAGGCCAUCUGGUCCCAGAGAGCAGAGCACACAGCCUCAAGAAAUACGAGAAAGGCGGCAGGGGCAGGUGAGCUACAAAGAGGGCUCCCCUGGGCAGUUUCAUUUUUAGGGGAUUGCUUCAUAUAUCUUCAGACCUUCAGGGUUUUAAUGUGUUUGAAGCUGUGCAGCGAAGCCCAAGUUCCUCUAUGUGACCUUGCAACCCCUCUGGGCCUUGGCCGGCUGCCACUCUGCCCCUUGCCUGCCCUCCAGACUCCGGUAAACAUCAGCAAAGCUGGAUGGAGAGGAACCGUGGAUGAGGAUGAAGUGGGGAGUAGGUCCUCCAAGUCCUUCCAAAGCCACCUCAUCCUUCCAGCUAGCUCCAGGCAGGAGCAGCAAGCUCCCUGUGCUGUCCCGCAUCAAACAGGCAAGGACAGCUGGACACGGAGAGAAGAGGCUGCAGGAGAAGUGAAAUCACCUCCACAGCCCAGGCGAGGCAGCAGCCAGGGGUGCCUGUCUGCCAGCUGUGCAGGAAAGACCCCUUCCCCACCAUUCCCCGCUGGUCGGGGAGAGCCACACUUGCUUUUACUUAUACUCAGUAGGUGUGAUUAGCAAUGUGAGUCUAGGAGGUUUUGUUUCUCAAACUAGAAACCUUGGGUGGCACCCUUGUUGGGGUAACAGUGAGAGGUGUGGGUGACAGAGGGGAGGGGCCUUGCCGCUUCCUUGCUCUUGGCAGGGGGAGCUGGCUGGUGGAUGAUUCAUUCAUUCAGCAAUUGUUUAUCUAGAGGAAAUGAUGGGCAAAGGCCCUGUGGGGUGGGCAGUGUCAUAUGAGGUGUCAGGAGAUGGCUGCAAAGGAGAGGAGCUUGCAGGGGUUAAGGCAGCUGAGGGACCUUAACCUGAGGUGGCACCUGGCUUAGCUCUCAUAGCUGUGGUUGCUGCUUUUACAGUAGAUUAGAUCUUCCCGAAGCAUGGCAAGAAAGAAUAGUUGGGACAGGCUAGGUUUAUGAGCAGAAUGCAACCUUUGGCAAAACCCCGUAAAAUACUCUGUAGCUUAAAAAAUCCCCAGGCCACAGCUAACUAUAGUUUGUGCUCCUAAACCAGUUCAACAGAAGCGCUUGACAUGACUGCUGAUCUGGGUGGCAGGUGGUGGCUGUCUGCACCCUAGGCUGCAGGGAGGAUGGCCCCGGGAGCCCGCAGACCACAGACACCAACAGAGGCCCGGGUUGGGGUGGGCGGUACCAGAGGCAGCUGCGGAGGACUCUUGGAGAUGCUCCCUCUGCUCCUCCUUUCGCCACCAGGGGCCUGAAAAGGGAUUUCCUUCUGUGGGAAAAUCCAGAUCGGCCUCCCUGUCACCUCUUCCUCACCCUCAUUCGUUCCUCCCCCUGGGAUAAUCUGACUGUGCCUGUGGAUCCAGAGUGGAUCCUGUCAGUUCUCAUCCUACGGAUCGCUGAGGUCCUGCACCUUUCGCUUGGCCAUGCUCAGCUCCAGGGCUCCCUCCCGCCUUGCCUUUACCCUGGGACUGCUCUCUGCCUCCUUGGCUGGGUCCUCUCCUCGGGCUCCCUUCUUCAGUAGCAAGGACCUUAGGUCCUCAUUCUUGAGCCUCUUCUCUCCCAACCAGACCCUUGUACCUGAGCUUGUCCACUCCCGAGGAGAACAGACAUGUGCCCAGGCCUCGGAAAGCUGUUGUUUCUAGGCUUCCUCUCUGUAAAGUUUCUGAUUCAUAUAACUCAUUGUAGGAAUUGCGACUGGACAUCCAGGGGCAUCUCAACUCCAUUGUGUCCCAAACUGAACUGGUCCCCUUUCCCCCACAUCCCCGCCCCUCCUUCAGUAUCCUCUACUCGGAGAGUAAUGUCACCUCCUAAACACCCAGCCCAGAAGCCCUGGGGUCAGAGGAAUGCAGGCUUUGGAGUCACCCACCAGACUCAAAUCCUGGCUCUACCACCUCCUGUGUGAUCCUAGCAAGUUCCUGAGCCUCUCUGUGCCUUAGUUUCCCAGAUAGCGUCAGUGCUCCUCUUAUAGACUUCUAGUGAGGAAACAAUGAGAUAUUCCGUUAGAAGUGGCCAUACAGAUAGCACUCAGUAAAAAUGAGCUGUUAUUAAUCCCUUUCCCCCAACACACACACACACACACACACACACACACACACACACACACACACUCAGCCAGUGAUUCAGUCCUGUGGGCUCCACCUCAUCUCCAGAUCCAGGUCCCAUUCACUGCCACAGUGGUGGCUCUGACCUUCCCCAUUCCUACCCUCAGCAGCUGCAGUCGCCUCCUUACUGGUCUUUCUUCCUCCAUGGUCUCCCUGCUCCCAUCUCGGUGAAUAAUUUCUUUUUAACAACAACAACAAAAAGCUUUAUUGAGAUAUAAUUCACAUAUCAUACAAGUCAAUCAUUUAAAAUGUAGAAUUCAAUGGCUUUUAACAUUCAUUGAGUUAUGUGACCACCUCCACAACCGAUUUUUUUUCUUUUUUUUUUUUUUUUUUUGAGACGGAGUCUCUCUCUGUCGCCCAGGCUGGAGUGCAGUGGCGCAAUCUCGGCUCACUGCAAGCUCCGCCUCCCAGGUUCACGCCAUUCUCCUGCCUCAGCCUCCCGAGUAGCUGGGACUACAGGCGCCCGCCACCAUGCCCGGCUAAUUUUUGUAUUUUUAGAAGAGAUGGGGUUUCACCAUGUUGGUCAGGAUGGUCUCAAUCUCUUGACCUUGUGAUCUGCCCGCCUUGACCUCCCAAAGUGCUGGGAUUACAGGUGUGAGCCACCACGCCCAGCCUUACAACCGAUUUUGUAGCACAUUUUCAUCACUCCAAAAAGAAACCCUGUGUGCAUUACCACUUACUCCUCAUUCCUGCCUCCUGACCCUCUCCCAUCCCUAGGCAGCCACUAAUCUACUGUCUGCCUCUAUAGAUUUGCCUAUCCUGGACAUUUCAUAUUAAGGGAACCCUAUACUAUGUGGUCUUUUGUGGCUAGCUUCUUUCACUUAGCAUAUUGCAAGGCUCAUCCUCGUUGUAACAUGUAGCAUUCCUUCUUACGGCCAGAUAACAUUCCAUUGUGUGGAUAUACUAGGCCACAUUUUGUGUAUCCAUUCACCAGCUGAACUGAAUAAUACAUGGGUUGUUUUCAUUUCUUAACUAUUACACACAGUCCAUACAAAAUGCUGCUAUGAAAUUCCUAUACAGGUUUCUGUGUGGACAUAUGUUUUUGUUGCUCUAUAUACCUAGUGGUCAUAUUAGUCAUAUGGUAACUCUAUGUCACUUUUGGAGGAACUGGCAAACUGUUUUCCAAAGUGGCUGUGCUAUUUCACAAUCCUCCCUGUAAAGUGUGAGGGUUCCACUUUCUCCACGUCCUCACCGACACUCAUUACCAUCUGUCUUUUUGACUGUGGCCAUCCUAAUGCCUGUGAAGUGGUAUCUCAUGGUUUUGAUUUGCAUUUGCCUGAUGGCUAAUGGUGUUCAGCAGCUUUUCAUGUACUCAUUGACCAUUUAUGUAUCUUCCUUGAGAAAUGUCUAUUCAGAUCCCUUGCCCGUUUUAAAUUAGAAUAUUUAUAUUUUUAUUAUUGGUUUGUGAGAGUUCUUCAUAUAUGCUAGAGACAAGUCUCUUAGGCGUAUGAUUUACAAAACUUUUCUCCAUUCUGUGGGUUGUUUUUUCACUGGCUUAAUAGUGUCUUUUAAAAUACAAAAGUUUUUAAUUUGAAUGAAGCCCAAUUUAUCCAUGUUUUUCCUUUGGUUGCUUGUACUUUUGGUGUCAUAUUUUAAAAACCAUUGCCUACCUUGAUGUCAAAAUUUAUGUCUAUAAUGUGGAGAAAAGAGGACUCUUAGAUGCUAUUGGUGGGGAAAUAAAUUAGUUUAGCAAUUCUGGAAAACAGUAUGGGAGUUUCUCAACAACUAAAAGUAGAAUUACCAUACAAUCCAGCAAUCCCACUACUGGGUAUUUAUUCAAAGAAAAGGAAAUCAAUAUAUUAAAGGAAUACCUGCACCACCCUUGUCUAUUUACAAUAGCCAAGAUACGGAAUCAAGCUAAAAGUCCAUCAACAGAUGAAUGAAUUAAAAACUGUAGUAUAUGUAUACACAAUGGAAUACUAGUUAGCCAUGAAACAAUACAAUUCUGUUAUUUGCAGAAACAUGGAGGGACCUAGAGAUCAUUGUGUUAGUGAAAUAAACCAGACACAGAACUACAAAUGUCCUCUCACUCAUAUGUGGGAGCUAAAGAAGUUGAUCUCAUGUCUCAUGGAGGUAGAGAGUAGAAUGAUAGUUACCAGAGGCUGGGAAAGUGGGUGGGAUGAAGAGAGGUUGAGCUACUGGGUACAAACAUACAGUCAGACAGAAGGAAUAAGUUCUAGUGUUCAAUAGCACAGCAGGGUGACUAUAGUUAAUAAUUUAUUGUACAUUUCAAAAUAGGGAAAUGUGAAAAGUUCCCAACACAAAGAAUCGAUGAACUUUUGAGGUGGUGGAUAUUCCAGUUACUCUGAUUUGAUCAUUACACAUUGUAGGCAUGUGUCAAAAUAUCACAUGUACCCCAUAAAUAUGUACAAUUAUUAUGUAUCAGUAAAAAAACGUAUGACUGUAUUUUCUGCAAAGAAGUUGUAUUAGUUGGAGUUCUCUAGAGGGAUAGAACUAAUAGGAUAUAUAUAUAAGCUUAUUAAGUAUUA